rnacentral:lncRNA from 1 species
CUUCUUCCAUUUGGCAAUGGCACCGUAAAAAGACUAGUUUUAACUUAUUUGUUGAGAAAAUUCUUUAGCUUCAGGGCAAAUUAAGCGUUAUCCUUAUGGCUUUUGCAAAGCUAUGGACUGGUAAAAGCAGAUACCUUCACGUGAAUGACUUUAUGGUCGGUACGAUGAUGGGUGCAAAUUAAGAACGAGGGCCUCAUCCAAAAACUUGGGCCAACGUUGGCCAAGCUGGGUCUAGCCAAGCCAACCACAGUACGCUACCGAUG